UGAAAUGAAAUAUUUACCUUU
rnacentral:piRNA from 1 species